AGAAGGCAAGCCGGGCAGGCAAACCAGGCACGCGGGGCAGCGCCAGCAAAGGCAAGGAGAGAAACAGUUCAGCGCUGCAGGAACAUCAGGCGCAGGACAGAGUGGAGGGAGCUGAGGCUGGAGCGGCGGGCCUAGCAACGUGGCCCCAGCAACGAGGCCGUGCAAUUCACGCUGACCCGCCAUGGUGGUGUGGACUCUAAUGUAUUCAUUAGAAAUCCAUAAUUGUUGCUGUCGAAGUCUCCUAAGAAAGCAAACAUUUGCCAGAUGCCAGAGUCUCCUCUGCUUCAACCCUAAUCCUGAUCAGCUCUUCCCUGAAAUCAUCCCAUCCCAGGCCAAAGUUUGGCACUUAGCACUCUUUCUUGAUGAUGAGGAUCUUCAACAGUACCAGGAAGACGGAGACUUCAACUACAAACAAACACAAGCCCAGACAAGUCCAGACAAAAUGGUGACAUGAAUGGAGUUUGCUGUCAGUUUCCCAAACUCCUGACCUAUUUAUGCCACCCCCUCAUAUCUAGAACUUCACGCUGUCCCCACUGCCCCGCACCCUGCCUGGUCCUGCCUCAUUCAAGAGCCUGUCCUCCUGAUUACGCCCAACUUUCUGUCUCUAAAUCAAAACCUGGUCUAUGUCCCAUUUCCUGAUGACCCAGCUAUUUACAUUAUAAAGUUAAUAAUAAAUACAUUUAACUCA